CACUCCUGCGGGAGGCAGCAGUGGGGAAUUUUGGACAAUGGGCGAAAGCCUGAUCCAGCAAUGCCGCGUGAGUGAAGAAGGCCUUCGGGUUGUAAAGCUCUUUUGUCAGGGAAGAAACGGUGAGAGCUAAUAUCUUUUGCUAAUGACGGUACCUGAAGAAUAAGCACCGGCUAACUACGUGCCAGCAGCCGCGGUAAUACGUAGGGUGCAAGCGUUAAUCGGAAUUACUGGGCGUAAAGCGUGCGCAGGCGGUUUUGUAAGUCUGAUGUGAAAUCCCCGGGCUCAACCUGGGAAUUGCAUUGGAGACUGCAAGGCUAGAAUCUGGCAGAGGGGGGUAGAAUUCCACGUGUAGCAGUGAAAUGCGUAGAUAUGUGGAGGAACACCGAUGGCGAAGGCAGCCCCCUGGGUCAAGAUUGACGCUCAUGCACGAAAGCGUGGGGAGCAAACAGGAUUAGAUACCCCUGUAGUCCCAUGA
rnacentral:rRNA from 1 species